AUUGAACGCUGGCGGCAGGCCUAACACAUGCAAGUCGAACGAGUGGCGGACGGGUGCGUAAUGUCUGGGAAACUGCCUGAUGGAGGGGGAUAACUACUGGAAACGGUAGCUAAUACCGCAUACCAUCAGAUGUGCCCAGAUGGGCUUAGCUAGUUGGUGGGGUAACGGCUCACCAAGGCGACGAUCCCUAGCUGGUCUGAGAGGAUGACCACCCCCGCUGGAACUGAUACACUGUCCAGACUCCUACGGUAGGCAGCAGUGGGGAUUAUUGCACAAUGGGCGCAAGCCUGAUGCAGCCAUGCCUCGUGUAUGAAUAAGGCCUUCGGGUUGUAAAGUACUUUCAGCGGGGAGGCGUUACCCGCAGAAGAAGCACCGGCUAACUCCGUGCCAGCAGCCGCGGUAAUAC
rnacentral:rRNA from 1 species